CUGAAGCUGCUGCCAAACCUCAUCGUCUUUAUUUUGGUUUUGUUGUACAUUUUCAUUACACCAGUCCAUAACACAUUACACAUAGUUAAGCUGCCAUCUACACUGAUACUUAAUUUCCUUGUUAGGGCCUUUUAUUGUUAAAUAAAUAUACCAAAAGCUUGUCAGUGCGUGUCUCCCAAUUUGUUAUGCCAUGCUUGAGCCAUGUGGUCAUAACACAGGCCUAUGCCAUCAAAUCCAAAUCUGCAGCCGAGGUCACACAGUGCAUUCUGAAAUUUGUAUAUCAAUUUGAGGUGCCACAGAGAAUACUCACUGACCAAGGAAGAGAAUUUGUCAACCAACAUAACACCGUUAUGUGUGCCACAUUUUGGGGAUAAGGACGAGUCUCUGUUCCCAAUACCACCCCCAGACGAAUGGGUUGGUGGAGAUUAAAUGGCACUCUACAGAAAGCUCUGGGGAAGCUCGCAAAAGAAAAACACAUGGGAUGGAUACCUGGAUGCUGUCAUGUUUAGUUUGCGCACCAAAAGGAAGCUCACAACCAGCCUCUCUCCAUUUUUCCUGAUGUUUGGGAGGGAAGCAGGUAUCCAUCUCAGGUGCAGGAAAACUAUGAGGUCGAUCCUUUGAGGAGCAGUUCAAUGAAGAGAAGGUGGCAAAAAUUGUCAACAUUGUCAAGCAAAAUGUGGAUAAGGUUCAGGAGAGAACCAGAGGGAGAAUGCAAACCCUGCAAAAGAGAAAGUGCUUUAAGGUGGGGGACAUGGUGCGGAGGAAGAAUGUCCGUAGCCUGCAGCGGAAAGGGGGAAAGCUCAAUCCUGAGUUUCUUGGGCCGUUCACAGUGGUGAACAUUGAAGAAAAAAGUGUUGAUCUUGUGGAUAGUUAACUCCACCUGCCACCUCCACGCCACCUGCCAACUCCCCUCUACCUGCCAGCUCAGCUCCACCUGCCACCUCCACUUCAGAGAAAUAUGUUACAGAGGCUUGGGACGGCAAAAAUGUUCAUGUUUUGCUGUUCCGAAUCAGUCCUUACAAGCUGUUCUAUUGGGACAUCUGUAGGACAACUCCGGGUCAGGAACUCGAGAGUGAGGUGAUUAAUGCCACCCUCCUUAGAAUGGUCCAAAAGCAUAAUAGCCAAGAGGGCAAAAAGGCACUUGCCAUUGAUACUUACACAAUGACAAAAUUUUGGAACGUAAAGACUGCAAUUCUAAGGGUAGGCACAGGUCAUCUUCCCCUCAGAUCAGAGGAGCCUUGUGCUGGAUCCACUCGGCAACGAUGGCACCAAGAUAAAAAGAUGUCUGGAGACCACAAGGUAACAGUUGUGUUCUAUGGCCGGUCCCCGGCAGGCGGGUUGCUGUUAUUUAACCAUUGGAUUAUGGGUGAAACAGGUGAAGGGAAUGACCUUGACUGAUGGGAUGAUGCUGUGCAGGUGUGUGAGAGCUUUGGUACCGUCCAUGGUGGUGCAUGAGUGCACCUCAUGCUCUGGUGACUGGGAUCUGCAAUAUGCACGAGUUUCAAGCGUAGUGGCGUAGGAGUUUACAGGCAUGACAAAAACAUGCAGAAAACAUAAGAUCUCCCCCCUACCAAUUACCUUUUUAUUAAAGGUGCUUAAUAAAUACAUUUGAUUAGCACUUGACAGACCCAUUCAAUGGAUAGGGCGUUUAUUACGGUCCUUCACCUUUGCUUCUUUACCCCUAAAAAGCUACAAUCA
ensembl:lncRNA